rnacentral:rRNA from 1 species
GAUGAACGCUGGCGGCGUGCCUAAUACAUGCGAGUCGAGCGAAUGGAUUAAGAGCUUGCUCUUAUGAAGUUAGCGGCGGACGGGUGAGUAACACGUGGGUAACCUGCCCAUAAGACUGGGAUAACUCCGGGAAACCGGGGCUAAUACCGGAUAACAUUUUGAACCGCAUGGUUCGAAAUUGAAAGGCGGCUUCGGCUGUCACUUAUGGAUGGACCCGGGUCGCAUUAGCUAGUUGGUGAGGUAACGGCUCACCAAGGCAACGAUGCGUAGCCGACCUGAGAGGGUGAUCGGCCACACUGGGACUGAGACACGGCCCAGACUCCUACGGGAGGCAGCAGUAGGGAAUCUUCCGCAAUGGACGAAAGUCUGACGGAGCAACGCCGCGUGAGUGAUGAAGGCUUUCGGGUCGUAAAACUCUGUUGUUAGGGAAGAACAGGUGCUAGUUGAAUAAGCUGGCACCUUGACGGUACCUAACCAGAAAGCCACGGCUAACUACGUGCCAGCCGCCGCAGUAA